CUGGACCUCACUCAAGUGGAACAGUGAGGAAGACACAGCCAGAGCGUGCCUACUCGCCCACUUCAACUAUGGUUCACUCUCCUUCCACAGACUCUGCCAGUGAGGCCACACCGCCACAGGUGGCUUCCAUCUUUAACCACCCUCUCGCUUGGCUUGUGGACUAGAGUGCUAGAGACACUAAAAGCUCAAGUUGAAGCACAUCCCAACCCCAUCAUCCAGACAGAUGGAAAGAACUUUGGGAAGCUCCCAUCCACCAGGAAUAUCACCCUAUCCCAGGAGUUCAGUCAGGAGUUUAUUCAGCCGUGUGCAACAUCACUGUAGAAGUAAAUCCACACGUUAGUCUCUAUCAUGCAGAAUUGUCAACUCAUUGGAACAUUUGAAGCCCAUUCUAAAAUACAGACGUGGGGGAUUUACUGCCCUGUGUACACAAAAACCUGUAAACUCCUGUCCUGUGUAUAAAAAAGCCUGUAAACUCCUGUCCUGUGUAUAAAAAAACCUGUAAACUCCUGUCCUGUGUAUAAAAAARCCUGUAAACUCCUGUCCUGUGUAUAAAAAAACCUGUAAACUCCUGUCCUGUGUAUAAAAAAACCUGUAAACUCCUGUCCUGUGUAUAAAAAAACCUGUAAACUCCUGUCCUGUGUAUAAAAAAACCUGUAAACUCCUGUCCUGUGUAUAAAAAAACCUGUGACAAGUGUUAAUGUUUCCCCAUUAUUCUGGUUUUGAGGCUUGGGUAUCUAUGGGGUGCAAUUCAUCUGUCUUAUCCCCUGCAAGGAGAAAGGACGACAUUCAUAAUAUUACAAUGGUAUAUGCAUUUAAUUGAAUAUAUAUUCCUGUUUGACUUGCAUCCAUAUAAUUCAAUUGGACAAACUCUCCUUUAUAAUAUCUCAGUGUUUGUUUUGUAUUUAGCUUACAUUAGGAUGAAGUAGCCUAGGCCUUCUAAUCUAGUUGUAUUGUAUCAUAUUGCCUAUCAUUUAGGUGAAUAUAAUAUAAGGUGAAAAUAAAACCAUGCUAUCUUGCACGUCAGUGUCACAUAAUAUUCAUGGGUGUUGUAGUUGUAUGAAAGUAUCACACUGCAAGCCUGCUAAUUGGAAAUGCAACACCAGCAGUCCUAAUGCAAUGCAAUAUUAGUUUCACAGUGAAA
rnacentral:lncRNA from 1 species